GACGAACGCUGGCGGCGUGCUUAACACAUGCAAGUCGAACGGAAAGGCCCUGCUUUUGUGGGGUGCUCGAGUGGCGAACGGGUGAGUAACACGUGAGUAACCUGCCCUUGACUUUGGGAUAACUUCAGGAAACUGGGGCUAAUACCGGAUAGGAGCUCCUGCUGCAUGGUGGGGGGUGGAAAGUUUCGGCGGUUGGGGAUGGACUCGCGGCUUAUCAGCUUGUUGGUGGGGUAGUGGCUUACCAAGGCUUUGGCGGGUAGCCGGCCUGAGAGGGUGACCGGCCACAUUGGGACUGAGAUACGGCCCAGACUCCUACGGGAGGCAGCAGUGGGGAAUAUUGCACAAUGGGCGGAAGCCUGAUGCAGCAACGCCGCGUGCGGGAUGACGGCCUUCGGGUUGUAAACCGCUUUCGCCUGUGACGAAGCGUGAGUGACGGUAAUGGGUAAAGAAGCACCGGCUAACUACGUG
rnacentral:rRNA from 1 species